rnacentral:tRNA from 1 species
ACGACCUUGGUGUGUGUUUCACGACCCCGGGGUGGUCGUGCAACGCACACCAAGGUCGUGCAGUGUCGCCCAGGGUCGUGC